AUAUUAGAUUUAUAUUAUAUUAAUAAUAAAUAGAAUAAAGCUCUAAGGAGCGACUUCGUAAAAUGUUAAAUCGUAUACGAUCCUUUUCGAGACCUCGCAGAAAAUUUCUCAAGAAAGAUUAACAGCAUUUUAAAAUGGGGUUACUUUGUUUAUGAUU
rnacentral:ncRNA from 1 species